GACGAACGCUGGCGGCGUGCUUAACACAUGCAAGUCGAACGGAAAGGCCCUGCUUUUGUGGGGUGCUCGAGUGGCGAACGGGUGAGUAACACGUGAGUAACCUGCCCUUGACUUUGGGAUAACUUCAGGAAACUGGGGCUAAUACCGGAUAGUAGCUCCUGCUGCAUGGUGGGUGUUGGAAAGUUUCGGCGGUUGGGGAUGGACUCGCGGCUUAUCAGCUUGUUGGUGGGGUAGUGGCUUACCAAGGCUUUGACGGGUAGCCGGCCUGAGAGGGUGACCGGCCACAUUGGGACUGAGAUACGGCCCAGACUCAUAAGGGAGGCAGCAGUGGGGAAUAUUGCACAAUGGGCGGAAGCCUGAUGCAGCAACGCCGCGUGCGGGAUGACGGCCUUAGGGUUGUAAACCGCUUUCGCCUGUGACGAAGCGUGAGUGACGGUAAUGGGUAAAGAAGCACCGGCUAACUACGUG
rnacentral:rRNA from 1 species